rnacentral:rRNA from 1 species
UACGUAGGGUGCGAGCGUUGUCCGGAAUUAUUGGGCGUAAAGGGCUCGUAGGCGGUUUGUCACGUCGGGAGUGAAAACUCAGGGCUUAACCCUGAGCCUGCUUCCGAUACGGGCAGACUAGAGGUAUGCAGGGGAGAAUGGAAUUCCUGGUGUAGCGGUGAAAUGCGCAGAGAUGUGGAGGAACACCAAUGGCGAAGGCAGCCUUCUGGGCCAACACUGACGCUCAUGCACGAAAGCGUGGGGAGCAAACAGG